UUUCAUUUGCUUUUCUUCUUCUGUUUUUCUCUGUUUCGAAAAGAAGAAUGGAAGGACAAAACAGAGAAGAACAGGGGAGAGAGAGAGAGAGAGAGAGAACAAAGGAAGAAAUGAAGGAGAAGAAGGCCGAGCUUCAGGAUCAGUUGGCUAUACUUAUGAUUGAUAGGAGUUGAGGACAUUGAUUGUGCACCCUCAAGGUCAGGUUUGGAGAAAUAUUUUUGGUUAUUCGAUAAGCUUCUAGCUGCGUAGGAGAACCAUUUUUGAUAUCGGGGAUCAGCUCGGAGAACUAGGUAGAGACAUUAGUUAUUUGAUAGAUAUUCUUUUUGCAUAUAAUGAAUUUGAAAUGUUACGACCUGAAGUUUUUGUGUAGUUGGUUUAGUGAUGUAGCUCCGUUGGAAUAUAUAUAUAUAUAUAUAUAUAUAUAUAUGUGAGAGCUUGCUAAAAUUGUGAUAUAUAUAAUUAUUUGGUUGUUUAUAGAAAGCUGGGUUUUUAUAUGACUAGUGUAUGUGAUAAUAGAGAUCGAGGAAAUUUAAGGGAAACUCUGUCGAAAUUUCGGGUCGUGACACCUUGACUUGGAUAUUCGCGUGAUUCUAGGCGGUUCAGGUCGAGGCGCGAGAAUCUUUUUUCAGAUCACUUCCGGGCAGAUCGACCUGUCUUUUGGUUCCUUCGUGGUUGUUGCAUAACUCUGGAGGACUUAAGGGAUCGGUUGACACCAGCUACAGACUGAGGUGGCCCGCAUCGCGUAAUCUUAUCUUUUCUCAAAAAUCGUUUUCAGUAUAAGGGCAAUAUCGUCUGUUCCUAAUUUAUUGACUACCUAAGGGUUAGGAUAAUCGAAACACUUUGGGCAAUGGGUGGAGACGGGCAGCCUGAUUUGGCACAGGUUCAUCUGCAUUGCCCACUUCACCCG